GAUGAACGCUGGCGGCGUGCCUAAUACAUGCAAGUCGAGCGAACGGACGAGAAGCUUGCUUCUCUGAUGUUAGCGGCGGACGGGUGAGUAACACGUGUAUAACCUACCUAUAAGACUGGGAUAACUUCGGGAAACCGUAUCUAAUCCCGUAUAAUAUUUUGAACCGCAUGGUUCAAAAGUGAAAGACGGUCUUGCUGUCACUUAUAGAUGGAUCCGCGCUUCAUUAGCUAGUAGGUAAGGUAACGGCUUACCAAGGCAACGAGGCAUAUCCGACGGGAGGGGAGGAUAGCCCACACUGGAAGUGGGACGCGGUCAAGGCGCCUACGGGAGGCAGCAGUAGGGAAUCGUCGGCAACGGGCGAAAGUCUGACGGAGCAGCGCGGAGUGAGUGAUGAAGGCCUUGGGAUCGUGAAAAUCUGUUAUUAGGGAAGAACAGAUGUGUAAUGAGCUGUGCACAUCUUGACGGUACCUAAUCAGAAAGCAACGGCUAACUACGUG
rnacentral:rRNA from 1 species